rnacentral:misc_RNA from 1 species
UGGUUCUGGCAUCGAUGAAGAACGCAGCGAAAUGCGAUAAGUAAUGCGAAUUGCAGAAUUCCGUGAGUCAUCGAAUCUUUGAACGCACAUUGCGCCCUUUGGCAUUCCGAAGGGCAUGCCUGUUCGAGCGUCAUUAUCACCCCUCAAGCUUGGCUUGUUGUUAGGGCUCGGUCGUCACAGACCGGCCCCCAAAGACAAUGACGGCGCCCACGAGACCCCCGGUACAAUGAGCUUUUCACGAGGCACGUACUGCGGCGGGCUUGCGGACCCGGUCCAACCACUAUUUUCUAAGGUUGACCUCGGAUCAGGUAGGGAUACCCGCUGA